rnacentral:rRNA from 1 species
AUGGAGGCGGGCGUGGGGUUGGCGCUGCAGUCGAGGGCCGCGGGGUUCGGCUCCGGCCGCCGCCGGAGAGCGACGUACGGCGGCGAGAGCGGGGCUCGGACGGUGAGCUUGCGUGCCAGUGAUCAGGUGGGGUCGCCGGCCGCCGUGCGGGCGCGCGUGGCCAAGCCCGUCGUCCCGCUCCGCGCCAAGAAAUCGUCCGGGGGAGGUCAUGAGAACUUGCAUAACUCCGUUGACGAUGCCCUCUUGUUGAAGAGAAAAUCAGAAGAGGUUCUUUUCCAGUUGAAUGGUCGGUGCAUCUACCUAGUUGGAAUGAUGGGUUCGGGGAAAAGCACGGUCGGCAAGAUCUUGGCUGAAGUUUUGGGUUAUUCAUUCUUUGACAGUGAUAAAUUGGUCGAACAAGCUGUUGGCAUGCCUUCAGUUGCUCAAAUUUUCAAGGUUCACAGUGAAGCCUUCUUCAGGGAUAAUGAGAGUAGUGUCUUGAGGGAUUUGUCCUCAAUGCGGCGAUUAGUUGUUGCUACUGGAGGUGGUGCUGUUAUCCGACCAGUUAACUGGAAAAAUAUGAAGAAAGGACUAUCUGUUUGGUUGGAUGUGCCCUUGGAGGCUCUUGCAAGGCGUAUUGCUAAAGUGGGGACUGCCUCGCGUCCUCUUCUAGAUCAACCAUCCGGCGAUCCAUACACAAUGGCUUUCUCGAAACUCAGCACGCUCGCGGAGCAAAGGGGCGACGCUUAUGCAAAUGCUGAUGUCAGAGUUUCUCUCGAAGAGAUCGCAUCGAAGCUGGGCCAUGACGACGUCUCUAAGCUGACGCCGAUUGAUAUUGCUCUGGAGUCGCUCCACAAGAUCGAGAGCUUUGUCGUCGAAGACACCGCCGUCGCCGACCCACAAACGGAAUCGCAAGCUCAAAGGAUACAUACCUUGUAG